UACGUAGGGUGCGAGCGUUGUCCGGAAUUAUUGGGCGUAAAGAGCUUGUAGGCGGUUUGGUAAGUCUGGUGUGAAAUCUCCACGCUCAACGUGGAGGGGCCACCCGAUACUGCCAUGACUGGAGUCCGGUAGAGGAGUGUGGAAUUCCCGGUGUAGCGGUGAAAUGCGCAGAUAUCAGGAGGAACACCGGUGGCGAAGGCGGUUCUCUGGGAAUGACCUGACGCUGAGGAGCGAAAGUGUGGGGAGCGAACAGG
rnacentral:rRNA from 1 species